rnacentral:misc_RNA from 1 species
AACGCACCUUGCACCCUUUGGUAGCCCAAAGGGUACACCCGUUUGAGUGUCAUUGUAAUCUCACUCAUCUGACUCUUGUCAGCAUGUUGUGGAUUUGGAUGCUGCUGUGUCUGACAGCUCAUCUGAAAUUUCUGAGUGCAUCCUGUAUUGCGAUGUGUUUGGUGUGAUAAAUCUUCACCAUAAUCGACUCCUUGGGUCACACUCGCUUCAUGGCUCUGUGCUUCCAAUCAUCCCAAACAGGAUAAUAACUGACAAUUUGACCUCAAAUCGGGUGGGACUACCCGCUGAACUUAA